rnacentral:rRNA from 1 species
AGUGAACGCUGGCGGUAGGCCUAACACAUGCAAGUCGAACGGCAGCACAGCAAGAGCUUGCUCUUACGGGUGGCGAGUGGCGGACGGGUGAGGAAUACAUCGGAAUCUACUUUUUCGUGGGGGAUAACGUAGGGAAACUUACGCUAAUACCGCAUACGACCUACGGGUGAAAGCAGGGGAUCUUCGGACUUUGCGCGAUUGAAUGAGCCGAUGUCGGAUUAGCUAGUUGGCGGGGUAAAGGCCCACCAAGGCGACGAUCCGUAGCUGGUCUGAGAGGAUGAUCAGCCACACUGGAACUGAGACACGGUCCAGACUCCUACGGGAGGCAGCAGUGGGGAAUAUUGGACAAUGGGCGCAAGCCUGAUCCAGCCAUACCGCGUGGGUGAAGAAGGCCUUCGGGUUGUAAAGCCCUUUUGUUGGGAAAGAAAAGCAGCAGGUUAAUACCCCGCUGUUCUGACGGUACCCAAAGAAUAAGCACCGGCUAACUUCGUG